rnacentral:rRNA from 1 species
UACGAAGGGGGGCUAGCGUUGCUCGGAAUCACUGGGCGUAAAGCGCACGUAGGCGGAUUGUUAAGUCAGGGGUGAAAUCCUGGAGCUCAACUCCAGAACUGCCUUUGAUACUGGCGAUCUCGAGUCCGGGAGAGGUGAGUGGAACUGCGAGUGUAGAGGUGAAAUUCGUAGAUAUUCGCAAGAACACCAGUGGCGAAGGCGGCUCACUGGCCCGGUACUGACGCUGAGGUGCGAAAGCGUGGGGAGCAAACAG